rnacentral:tRNA from 1 species
GUCGUCAUAGCUCAAUGGGAUAGAGCGGCGGUUUCCUAAACCGCGUGUUGUGGGUUCGAUUCCCUCUGGCGACUCCA